CGGCGCGUGGUGAAGUACCCACCAGAAGGUAGCGCACAAUGCCCUAGUCGAUCUAGAAAAACGCCCUAGUCCCCUUUUUUCUUCGUCGUGGAUACCCACCGCCGACACCAAACUUCAGUCCGCAAUCGUGGGAGAGCCAUCGCCGCCGAUGCCACGACGCACAGUGAUGUAGGAGGACCACGCCGGUUUACUCGUCAUCAGGCUUUGAUGGGAAAAAAUAGUCACCAUGAGCAGGAUUUUAAUUUGGCAUUCAAACAUAGGAAUUAUGUGGAAAAUUAGGACCAUGGGAUGAUGUCUACUGAAGCGUGAUUUACCACUGAAGGUUUACAUAAGGAGGGAGAAUGCCGACAGCUGGAAUUCUGGACUGGAAAAGGAGCAAAUAUU